rnacentral:rRNA from 1 species
AGAGUUUGAUCCUGGCUCAGAAUCAACGCUGGCGGCGUGCCUCAGACAUGCAAGUCGAACGCGAAACCUUCCUUCGGGAGGGGAGUAGAGUGGCGCACGGGUGAGUAACACGUAGGUAAUCUACCUCUGGGUGGGGAAUAACAGCCGGAAACGGCUGCUAAUACCGCAUAAUGCAGCGGCUCGACAUCGAGACAGUUGUUAAAGCGGGGGCUGGCUUCGGCCACCUCGCGCCUGAAGAGGAGCCUGCGGCAGAUUAGCUAGUUGGCAGGGUAAUGGCCUACCAAGGCGACGAUCUGUAACCGGCCUGAGAGGGCGGUCGGUCACACUGACACUGACAUACGGGUCAGACUCCUACGGGAGGCAGCAGUCGGGAAUUUUGGGCAAUGGGCGAAAGCCUGACCCAGCAACGCCGCGUGAAGGAUGAAAUCCCUCGGGAUGUAAACUUCGUAAGAACAGGAAGAAUAAGUAGAAGCCAAUACCUUCUAUGAUGACGGUACUGUUUGUAAGCUCCGGCUAACUCCGUGCCAGCAGCGGCGGUAAUUC